AAGUCGUAACAAGGUUUCCGUAGGUGAACCUGCGGAAGGAUCAUUACCGAUUUUAGCGGACCUGAUCCUUUGAUCAUGGUCUCGCGAAAACUUGUAUUUAAAACCCCACUCUUAUAAAUUGAAUCAUUUUAUAUGUAUAUAAUAAAUAAAGAUCACUUUCAACAACGGAUCUCUUGGCUCUC
rnacentral:misc_RNA from 1 species